UAAUACAGGAUGUGGAUGACGGUACCCGAAUAAGAAGCACCGGCUAACUACGUGCCAGCAGCCGCGGUAAUACGUAGGGUGCGAGCGUUAAUCGGAAUUACUGGGCGUAAAGCGUGCGCAGGCGGUUUCGUAAGACAGACGUGAAAUCCCCGGGCUCAACCUGGGAACUGCGUUUGUGACUGCGAGGCUAGAGUUUGGCAGAGGGGGGUGGAAUUCCACGUGUAGCAGUGAAAUGCGUAGAGAUGUGGAGGAACACCGAUGGCGAAGGCAGCCCCCUGGGCCAAUACUGACGCUCAUGCACGAAAGCGUGGGGAGCAAACAGGAUUAGAUACCCUGGUAGUCCACGCCCUAAACGAUGUCAACUAGGUGUUGGGAGGGUUAAACCUCUUAGUGCCGUAGCUAACGCGUGAAGUUGACCGCCUGGGGA
rnacentral:rRNA from 1 species